AGUGGGGAAUCUUAGACAAUGGGGGCAACCCUGAUCUAGCCAUGCCGCGUGAGUGAUGAAGGCCUUAGGGUUGUAAAGCUCUUUCAGCUGGGAAGAUAAUGACGGUACCAGCAGAAGAAGCCCCGGCUAACUCCGUGCCAGCAGCCGCGGUAAUACGGAGGGGGCUAGCGUUGUUCGGAAUUACUGGGCGUAAAGCGCACGUAGGCGGACCGGAAAGUUGGGGGUGAAAUCCCGGGGCUCAACCUCGGAACUGCCUUCAAAACUAUUGGUCUGGAGUUCGAGAGAGGUGAGUGGAAUUCCGAGUGUAGAGGUGAAAUUCGUAGAUAUUCGGAGGAACACCAGUGGCGAAGGCGGCUCACUGGCUCGAUACUGACGCUGAGGUGCGAAAGCGUGGGGAGCAAA
rnacentral:rRNA from 1 species